AAAAAAAUGAUAGUAUGAUUCGAGUAGUUCUGCAUAAAUACGAAGUUAAGCAUUUUUCUCUAUAAUUCUGUUGAAUUUCACAAGAAAAAAUGUACUGGCUUACAUGAAGCUUCUAGUUGACCAGAAAUUUACUAUACAACCAGUGGAUUAUGCUUUCCAGCUCACUUUACUCACUCCACAAUGAACUGAAAAAAAAAAUGAAUUAUUAUGUUCUUGAAUGGAAGCCAAUAAGAUCUUUAACUGAUAAGUGAAUGAAGGCUAUCAACAUAACCAUUUCCUAGAUAUUGUGGCAAAGGCGCACUUGCCACCUACUUCAUCUUCAAGAGUUUAGCAGCCCCCGCAUGGUUCCAGACCAGUGAUGGAUGAAUCAAUUGUCUCUCCAAAACUCAGGCAGAGAACGUGGCAAUGAUCAGGCUUAUUAUCAUGAAUACAACAUAGAGUCCUACUAGGCAAAAUCCCCAGAAUCUUGGCACCCGGAACCUAUUCCAAGUAACUAAAAGCAAAGAUCCCAUCAAGCUCAAUAGCAAGAAAACAAAAGCAACCACGAUACUCACGUGGAGAUGAAGCUCAUAAGCUUCUGGAUAUACAUUUGCUGUCUGCAUAACCAAAGCAGUUCCAAGCCCAAAAAGCAUGUUAAACAUUGGCCCAGCAAAACAUCCAGCCAUGGCCAUGGCCGGUUGGCCAGCCUUUGCUACAGCCACGUCUGCAACAAGAUCACCUACUGAGUUUCCCCAUGCAAGCACCGUUAAACCAAGAAAGGCAGCAGGCAGUUUCAGGAGCUCUCCAAGAACGGCAAGACAGUUGAGAAGUUCCCCAGCAACUGUGGAGAUCCAAAAUACACUCAUAACAAAUGCUAUAACAACUGCAGGCAUUUGCUCAGUUUUAGGGGCCUCCUUUUCAACAAUGAAAUGUACAACAGCCAAAGAACACGUAGCACAAAGUACAAUGAACCAAAGAGGCAAAUGGGUGUCUGAGAGAAGGAAAGAGAUUGGAUGAUUUAAUGGCACAAAAGAUUUGCAGGAAAACAGAAGGAGGAGGGGGCAGAGAGCAAUGUUGGAAGAUAAACAGAAUCUAUUCCAUUCAGAAGGUGCAGUCUGUGGUAUGGUGAGCCUAAGGAGCAUCGAGACAGGAAGUUUCCAGAUUAGAGAGACCUUUCCAAAAAGGUGUGAUGAACCCGUAGUAUGCCUAUUUCCAUCUUCUAGAGUACCCAUAACUUUGCCUUUUUCAGAAUCGAACUCAACAAUCCCUAUAUGAACUUCAUCACUUCUAACCAAACCCACCUCACCUCCAAACUUACCCCCCUUCUCUUUGGCACCACCCAUCCCCAAGUCCAUCCAAAAUACAAAUCCAACAAAGAAGAUAUAAAACGCAACAAACCCAAUAGCUUGCCAGAGGAAAAUCUCAGCACUUAAGUAGACAUAAAAAAGAAACAAAGCGGCAGUCAAAUAAAACAUCACAUCCCUCACAAAUGGAGCAGGAUCAACAGCAAAAGGUGCCGCGUAAAUCGCCACGAACCCAACCACAAAAGCAGAGACAAAAGUCCCUGCUGAAAGAAUCGCCCCAAACCCAGUUCUGGCUUGACCUCCCCUAACUGCAGCCACAGAUGCAAAAACAUCAGGCGCACCAUUACCUAAAGCCAAAAGGGUCACUGCACCCAUAGAAGGCGACAACCUAAGAUGCGUAGAAAGCUUAGUAACCACAACAGAAAAGUAAUCUUGGGCAGUCUUGAUAAGGAUGUAGAACUGUAGAAAUACACAGAGGGCGAAAAAUGGGAUGGAAAGAAAUGGGUUUUCUUGGAAGAGACAAUAGUGCAAGGAAAAGUAGUUAAAGAUUCCAUUGGAGUCAGUGAAAUUGCUGGUCGAACACACAAAAUGGUCGGAUUUUUCUUCAAGAAUGGUGGCAUUCAAAAGAAACCUGUGGGGAAUUAGUGGAGAUUUGUGAAUUGGAUUUGAUGAAUAUUGGGGAAGCGGGAGGACGAUGAAGAAGAAGAGGACAGUGAUGA
rnacentral:misc_RNA from 1 species